GCCAGGCCUUGACCCCCAGGAGACAAGACUGGAUCUGCAGGCCCCUCUGUCCUCCAUUCCACAGAUGAGGAGACCAAGGGCUCAGAGAAGCCCUGCCCCAGGUCAGGAAACUGAAGCACCAUCAGGAAGCAGCCUUAAUGUCAUGGAGUCCACUGGACUGUGAAAGAUGCUUGGGUGAAUGGAAACAGCUGGAAAGGUGGACAGAAGAGAGGACAAGAGACCGACUGCCUUUUUGACAGCUCCUCUCUAGGCCCUUCCUAGAGAAGGCCAUUCAUCAGUGCUUCAUUUAUCAGGCCACUUGUCAAGGUCUGGGGAAACAUAGGCAACAGGAUGUGAGCGUGAGAUAUUAGACAAAGUCUCCUGCCCUGGCUUCCCCUUCACUUCCUCUGCCUCCUGACUGACCUUGGUGCUUCCCCACGCGGCCCUGCAUGGGAUUUCAUGCCUCCAGUAUCUGGGGAUCUGGUCAGAUGCAGGGUGGCUGCCGGCCCUGGUCGUUCACCGGAGGAUAAUCACCAUGAAGUGGUUACCAGCGCAUCGUGGACAAGCUGGGACGAGGGUGCCAUCUGCACAGCAUACUAACCUGUGAGUAUCUCUGGGAUAAUGAAUUGGAACAUGAAGAAGAAAGAGAGUGGAUGUUUGAUACAACUAGGAGAUAGGUCCCAGGCUCCUGCCAUUCACUGUAGAGGUCAGCAAGAGCAGGGUGAGCAC